AUUGAACGCUGGCGGCAGGCCUAACACAUGCAAGUCGAACGAGUGGCGGACGGGUGAGUAAUGUCUGGGAAACUGCCUGAUGGAGGGGGAUAACUACUGGAAACGGUAGCUAAUACCGCAUACCAUCGGAUGUGCCCAGAUGGGGUUAGCUAGUAGGUGGGGUAAAGGCUCACAUAGGCAACGAUCCCUAGCUGGUCUGAGAGGAUGACCAGCCACACUGUAACUAAGACAAGGUCCAGAAUCCUACGGAAGGGAGGGGUGGGGAAUAUUGUACAAGGGUGGAAGGCCUGAUGCAGCCAUGCAGAGUGUAUAAAAAAGGCCUUCGGGUUGUAAAGUACUUUAAGCGGGGAGGCGUUACCCGCAAGAGAAGCGCCGGCUAACUCCGAGCCAGCAGCCGCGGUAAUUC
rnacentral:rRNA from 1 species